GGAAACUUGUUUCAGUGCCAAUUCAUGCUAACAAAUUUGGAUGCUUGAAGUCUCUUUAUUAAAUAUGUAGCAAGAAAUGUACCCAUAGGGCUGGGGAUUUAGCUCAGUGGUUCCCCUGCCUGCCUGGCACAAGGACACAAGAAAAAAGAAAAAAAGAAAGAAAGGAGCCUAAAUGAAUUAGCAAACACACGAGGGAGCCAGAC
rnacentral:lncRNA from 1 species